rnacentral:rRNA from 1 species
CUGCAGCGAUAAUACUUGUUCCCUUCGGGGUGGUAAUAGUAUUUGUGCUGAAGCCUAGCUAUUGUAACCCAGUUUUUCUGGAUGUGGCAACAUAUUCAGGGGAAUUGGGAAUCGACCGCUAGCAGGUGCCUUCGGGCGCGGGAAAGUGAAUUAACAAGGUUUUCAUAAGGCCUUUCAGGUUUGCUUUUUCUAGUGGCCAGGCAGAGGAGUUUCUUACCUAUCAGCUCGUUGUUUGUUUAAAGGACAAACCAGGCUUUGACGGGUACGGGGAAUCAGUGUUCGAUUCCGGAGAGGGAGCCUGAGAAAUCGCUACCACAUCUAAGGACGGCAGCAGGCGCGCAAAUUACCCAAUCUCAAUACGAGGAGGUAGUGACAAGCUAUAGUGACUCCACACUAUUUAGUGGGGAGGUAUUGUCUUUUGACGAUUUUCCAUGAUUUGGGUGUAGAUAACCCUUAGAGUAGCCAUUGGAGGAAAAGUCUGGUGCCAGCACCCGCGGUAAUUCCAGCUCCAAGAGCGUAUAUUAAUACUGCUGUAGUUAAAACGCCCGUAGUAUACCUAAGAGUGUGUAUGUAGUAAUUAGUUUUAUCAGAGGACGGUUGGCGAGAGUUUAUCACUCUUGUUUGCCUACUUUUGGUAAACUUUAGUCGGGCUGGAUCUUUGGUCCUCGUCUGACAGUUACUGCGUGUAUACUUGUCCACGGUUCAUCCGUGAGGCCCAUUUGGGUUGCAACUGUAAAUAAAUCGUUGUGCUUAAAGCGGGCUAUGAUACUCUGCCAGAGCGAUUUAGCAUGGGACUGCAG